rnacentral:rRNA from 1 species
GUUAUUUAAGGGCGCAUGGUGGAUGCCUUGGCAUACUGGGCCGAUGAAGGACGUGUAAGGCUGCGUUAAGCCUCGGGGAGUUGUCAAUUAAGCGUUGAUCCGAGGAUGUCCGAAUGGGGAAACCCGCCUGCCGUUAUGGGUAGGUACCUGCUGAUGAAUUCAUAGUCAGUGUGGGGGUUAUACGUGGGGAAGUGAAACAUCUUAGUACCUGCAGGAGGAGAAAAUAAUAAUGAUUCUGCUAGUAGCGGCGAGCGAACGUGGAUGAGGCUAAACCGUGUGUAUGUGAUACUUGGUAGGGGUUGUGCAUGCGGUGUUGUGGGGCCAUGAUUUUCUGUUUCUACCAGGACAGAGCGCGCUAUGUGUUGUUAGGUGAAGUGGGUUGGAAUGCCCGGCCGUAGAAGGUGAGAGCCCUGUAGGUGAAGACGAUGUGUGGUGUGUGUUGUGGUGCCCGAGUAGCAGCGGGCUCGUGGAAUCUGCUGUGAAUCUGCCGGGACCACCCGGUAAGCCUAAAUACUCAGUGUGACCGAUAGUGUAUGAGUACCGUGAGGGAAUGGUGAAAAGUACCCCGGGAGGGGAGUGAAAUAGUUCCUGAAACCAUGUGUCUACAAUCCGUCAGAGCACCGUUUGUGUGUGAUGGCGUGCCUUUUGAAGAAUGAGCCUGCGAGUCAGCGGCAUGUCGCGAGGUUAACCCGUGUGGGGUAGCCGUAGGGAAACCGAAUCCUAACUAGGGUGGCAAGUGGCAUGUUCUGGACCCGAAGCGGGGUGAUCUACCCAUGGCCAGUGUGAAGCGAUGGUAAGACGUCGUGGAGGCGCGAACCCACGUAGGUUGAAAACUGCGGGGAUGAGUUGUGGGUAGGGGUGAAAGGCCAAUCAAACUCCGUGAUAGCUGGUUCUCCCCGAAAUGCAUUUAGGUGCAGCGUCGUAGUAGCCUGGUGGAGGUAGAGCUACUGGUUGGUUGAGCGGGACUAUCAUCUUAGCAACAUCAGCCAAACUCCGAAUGCCGCUAGUUGUGUUCUACGGCAGUGAGACUGUGGGGGAUAAGCUUCAUAGUCGAGAGGGAAACAGCCCAGAUCGCCGGUUAAGGCCCCUAAGGGUGUGCUAAGUGGAAAAGGAUGUAAGAUCGCGAAGACAGCCAGGAGGUUGGCUUAGAAGCAGCCAUCCUUGAAAGAGUGCGUAAUAGCUCACUGGUCGAGUGGUUUUGCGCCGACAAUGUAGUGGGGCUCAAGCACACCGCCGAAGCCGCGGCAAAUAUUUUUGAUAUUUGGGUAGGGGAGCGUCGUGCAUGGGUUGAAGCAAUACUGUAAGGAGUUGUGGACUGUGUGCGAGUGAGAAUGCAGGCAUGAGUAACGAAUUGGACAGUGAGAAUCUGUCCCGCCGGAUGACUAAGGGUUCCUGGGUCAAGUUCGUCUUCCCAGGGUGAGUCGGGACCUAAGGCGAGGCCGACAGGCGUAGUCGAUGGACAACCAGUUGAUAUUCUGGUACCCGUAUAUGCGCGCCCGUGGUAAAGCAUUGAUACUAACCACCCACAAGCAUGUUCUGGUUGCCUUCGGGUUACUGGUUCUGUGUGCGUGCGUGGGGCCUGAUAUGUGGUCCAAGCGAUGGGGUGACACAGUGAGGUAGCCAUGCCACUUAGUGGAUUGUUGGUGUAAGCGUGUAGGCCAAGUGAUAGGUAAAUCCGUCACUUAUAUAGGCUAAGGCGUGAUGCGGAGCCUUUAUUGGUGAAGUUGGUGAUCCUGUACUGUCGAGAAAAGCCUCUAGCGAUGUGUGUAUAUGGCCCGUACCCCAAACCGACACAGGUAGUCAGGUUGAAAAUACUAAGGCGUUCGGGAUAACUGUGGUUAAGGAAUUCGGCAAAAUGCCCCCGUAACUUCGGAAGAAGGGGGACCCACUGAGAUGACCGCCCUUUGCGGUGUGAGUGUUGGUGGGUCGCAGAGAAUAGAGGGAAGCGACUGUUUAUCAAAAACACAGGUCCAUGCGAAGACGUUAAGUUGAGGUAUAUGGACUGACGCCUGCCCGGUGCUGGAAGGUUAAGAGGACCGGUUAGAAACCUUGUGGUUUCGAAGCUGAGAAUUUAAGCCCCAGUAAACGGCGGUGGUAACUAUAACCAUCCUAAGGUAGCGAAAUUCCUUGUCGGGUAAGUUCCGACCUGCACGAAUGGCGUAACGACUUCUCUGCUGUCUCAACCACAGGCCCGGUGAAAUUGCACUACGAGUAAAGAUGCUCGUUACGCGCGGCAGGACGAAAAGACCCCGGGACCUUCACUAUAGCUUGGUAUUGGUGUUCGGUUCGGUUUGUGUAGGAUAGGUGGGAGACUGUGAAACUGCGACGCUAGUUGUGGUGGAGUCGUUGUUGAAAUACCACUCUGAUCGGAUUGGAUACCUGAACCUUGGCCCAUGAUCUGGGUUGGGGACAGUGCCUGGUGGGUAGUUUAACUGGGGCGGUUGCCUCCUAAAAUGUAACGGAGGCGCCCAAAGGUUCCCUCAGCCUGGUUGGCAAUCAGGUGGUGAGUGUAAGUGCACAAGGGAGCUUGACUGUGAGACUGACACGUCGAGCAGGGACGAAAGUCGGGACUAGUGAUCCGGCACCUACUUGUGGAAGUGGUGUCGCUCAACGGAUAAAAGGUACCCCGGGGAUAACAGGCUGAUCUUCCCCAAGAGUCCAUAUCGACGGGAUGGUUUGGCACCUCGAUGUCGGCUCGUCGCAUCCUGGGGCUGGAGUAGGUCCCAAGGGUUGGGCUGUUCGCCCAUUAAAGCGGCACGCGAGCUGGGUUCAGAACGUCGUGAGACAGUUCGGUCUCUAUCCGCCGCGCGCGUUGAAACUUGAAGAAGGCUGUCCCUAGUACGAGAGGACCGGGACGGACGUACCUCUGGUGUGCCAGCUGUUCCGCCAGGAGCAGGGCUGGUUGGCUACGUACGGAAGGGAUAACCGCUGAAAGCAUCUAAGCGGGAAGCCUGUUUUAAGAUGAGGUUUCUGUUGAGGUUCCCUACAGACUAUAGGGUUGAUAGGCCAGACCUGUACGCAUUGUAAGAUGUUAAGGCUACUGGUACUAAUACACCAACAAACAAACACAA